UUAGAUCAGUAAAUGAGAAAUGUCAUUUUAUUUUCAAUUAUGCUUUCCUUUUAUAUUUUCUUAUUGAAUUUUGUUGAGCUCAAGAGUAGUCCAUAAGAAAUGUGAUCUGUAAUAUAUCAUACAUGGUUCUUAAACGAAAUUAUUGUCAAUUAUUGUCGAUUCAUAUAUAAUGGAUACUCUGCAUCUACAUUAAGUUACGUUUCUUCUACCAUUAACAUUUUCCUUGAGUUAUAAAGAAUAUAAAAUUUCUUAUUUUUGAUGUCUUAGGCUCAGGAGGUGGAACCAUGCAUGCUUGGAGUAUUCAGACGAAGAAUGAGGUGGCAAGUUGGAGCAGCUCUAUUGGCGUGCCUUCGUGCUUGAAGUGGGCGCCUCGCAGAGCCAUGUUCGCUGCAGCUUCAAGUGUUCUCACGUUUUGGAUACCUAAUAAUGAUUCAAAGUUGAAAACUGAUAAUGGUGGUAAUGACGCUGAAGCUGGAUCUCAACCCCAAACACUUCUUCAUUGAACUGAAUAUUUCCUUCCUCUCCCACCCCGCGACAAUUUUGUUUGGCUGUUGUAUCAAGAAAUCAACUACGGCCUUGUUAAUUUCGUAAGCUUUCUAGUCUGGUUUCCUUUCUUGAAAAUUUUGUGAUGCUUGAGGAUGUCGCCCAUUGUAAAUUCCAUCACUGAAUGCAAUUUAUUUUGUUUAAUGUCUUAACUA